ACGCUACCAGAAAUGGUAGUUUCUCUUCGGAGCCUUUGCACAGGUGCUGCAUGGCUGUCGUCAGCUCGUGCCGUGAGGUGUUGGGUUAAGUCCCGCAACGAGCGCAACCUUAUCGUUACUUUGCCAACACGUAAUGGUGGGAACUCUAACGAGACUGCCUGGGUUAACCAGGAGGAAGGUGAGGAUGACGUCAAGUCCGCAUGGCCCUUAUGUCUGGGGCUACACACGUGCUACAAUGGUCGGUACAGAAGGCAGCGAAGCCGCGAGGUGGAGCAAAUCCCAAAAAGCCGAUCUCAGUUCAGAUUGUAGUCUGCAACUCGACUACAUGAAGACGGAAUUGCUAGUAAUGGCGAGUCAGCAACAUCGCCGUGAAUACGUUCCCGGGUCUU
rnacentral:rRNA from 1 species